rnacentral:rRNA from 1 species
UACGAAGGGGGCUAGCGUUGCUCGGAAUCACUGGGCGUAAAGCGCACGUAGGCGGAUUGCUAAGUCAGGGGUGAAAUCCUGGAGCUCAACUCCAGAACUGCCUUUGAUACUGGCGGCCUUGAGUCCGGGAGAGGUGAGUGGAACUGCGAGUGUAGAGGUGAAAUUCGUAGAUAUCCGCAAGAACACCAGUGGCGAAGGCGGCUCACUGGCCCGGUACUGACGCUGAGGUGCGAAAGCGUGGGGAGCAAACAGG